AAGGCAGCAGGCUGGACUGCAGGUUUAGCAGAUUAAUUCAAUCCCCCAAGCAGCAGAACCAGAGUAAUAUUUCCAGGACCAUUCAAAGGAUUUUGGAAGUGCUGUGCAUGGAUGCUGACUGAUGACUUCUGCAGCCUGCAAGAGGUGCACAAUGAUGAAGAUGCUGAUCCUGAUGAAAACGCUCCAUGCAGAUGUGGUGUAAAAACAUUGUGAA